rnacentral:rRNA from 1 species
GUGGGGAAUAUUGGACAAUGGGCGAAAGCCUGAUCCAGCAAUGCCGCGUGAGUGAUGAAGGCCUUAGGGUUGUAAAGCUCUUUUACCAGGGAUGAUAAUGACAGUACCUGGAGAAUAAGCUCCGGCUAACUCCGUGCCAGCAGCCGCGGUAAUACGGAGGGAGCUAGCGUUGUUCGGAAUUACUGGGCGUAAAGCGCACGUAGGCGGUUACUCAAGUCAGAGGUGAAAGCCCGGGGCUCAACCCCGGAACUGCCUUUGAAACUAGGUGACUAGAAUCUUGGAGAGGUCAGUGGAAUUCCGAGUGUAGAGGUGAAAUUCGUAGAUAUUCGGAAGAACACCAGUGGCGAAGGCGACUGACUGGACAAGUAUUGACGCUGAGGUGCGAAAGCGUGGGGAGCAAACAGGAUUAGAUACCCCUGUAGUCC